UCACCGCUUGCGCGGGCAGUCUCAUUAGAGUGCCCUUUCGUAGCAACUAAUGACAAGGGUUGCGCUCGUUGCGGGACUUAACCCAACAUCUCACGACACGAGCUGACGACAGCCAUGCAGCACCUGUGUUACGGCUCUCUUUCGAGCACCCUCUGAUCUCUCAAAGGUUCCGUACAUGUCAAGGGUAGGUAAGGUUUUUCGCGUUGCAUCGAAUUAAUCCACAUCAUCCACCGCUUGUGCGGGUCCCCGUCAAUUCCUUUGAGUUUUAAUCUUGCGACCGUACUCCCCAGGCGGUCUACUUCACGCGUUAGCUGCGUUACCAAGUCAAUUAAGACCCGACAACUAGUAGACAUCGUUUAGGGCGUGGACUAC
rnacentral:misc_RNA from 1 species